CGCGUAGGUGGCCAAUUAAGUCAAAUGUGAAAUCCCCGAGCUUAACUUGGGAAUUGCAUUCGAUACUGGUUGGCUAGAGUAUGGGAGAGGAUGGUAGAAUUCCAGGUGUAGCGGUGAAAUGCGUAGAGAUCUGGAGGAAUACCGAUGGCGAAGGCAGCCAUCUGGCCUAAUACUGACACUGAGGUGCGAAAAGCAUGGGAGCAAACA
rnacentral:rRNA from 1 species